UUAUUGUCAUAAAUUGACACAUUUUAUGAACAAAUUGUAAUAAAUAAUGAUAUUUUUUUUUUAUAAAAUAUUUAUUUGCAUUAUGUUUUAAUGCAUACCGGUUAAUUAUUAAAGGUUAUGGCAAAAACUACGUACAGUCAUCAGAGUUAUCAAGAACAUUUACGUUACUUGGAAAUGCUAAAGGAAGACUUUAAUAAGAAAUACUCAGAUGCACCGAUUUACGAUAAAACUGUAGAUGAUUUCGAUAUAGUCAAAGCUAUUGGAAAUGGGGCGUAUGGCGAGGUGUUUUUAGUAAGAGAUAAAAUUACUUUCACGUACCAUGCAAUGAAAGUUGUUGAAAAGAGUGUUGUAGUUGAGAGGAAUCAUGCUAAGCAUUUGAUUUUAGAAAAGAAAAUUCUCCAGUGUAUUCAAUUUCCAUUUGUAGUAACUCUAGACGUGGCUUUCAAAGACAAUCUGUAUCUUUAUUUUAUUCUACCAUAUAUUGCAGGAGGUGAAAUGUUUACAUACAUCCAAAAAUAUGGGAUUUUUUCCGAUAGUCUGACGAAAUUUUAUGCAUCCCAAGUAAUCUUAGCUCUGGAAUACUUGCACUAUUGUGAAGUGGUACACAGGGAUAUAAAGCCCGAAAAUAUUUUGAUUGAUUCCAACGGCUACCUUAAAUUAUGUGAUUUUGGAUUUUGUAAAGUGCUAAAGAAAAAGACAUGGACAUUGUGUGGAACUCCAGAAUACUUAGCGCCCGAAGUUAUUACAUCAAAAGGUUAUUCUUUUUCUGUUGAUUGGUGGGCUCUUGGUGUUUUGAUUUUUGAGAUGGAAGCCGGUCAUCCUCCAUUUUUUGCUUCUGAUCCUAAUAAACUUUAUGAAAAAGUUUUAGUAGGUAGUUACAAAUGUCCGGAGAACAUGUCUCCAGAAUGUAAGAAUUUGCUUAAAGGCUUAUUGCAAGUGGAUCCCUCAAAGCGGAUAGGCUCAUUAAAAGGUGGCAUUUACGAGAUCAAGAGCCAUACAUGGUUUAAUGGUCUAGAUUGGCAAGCAAUAUUUCAUCAAAAAUUAAUUGCCCCUUUUGUCCCUAUUUGUUCAUCACCAGGAGACACCAGCAACUUUCCAGAAAUUCCACAGCCUAAAUUAAGGAAGGUGUCAAAAUAUUUAUAUGAGGAAGAAUUUGCAGAAUUUUAAACUGUAAAAGACUAUUUUUCUGAUAAUGAUUUGAUUAUCAUUUAUGGACAUUAACAAAUUUUGCGAUAGAGUUAAGGUUCCUCCUACACUGAGUACUAUUAUAAAAAUCAAAAUAUACAAACCUGUUCUCGAA